rnacentral:rRNA from 1 species
ACGGAAGGCAGCAGUCGGGAAUAUUGCGCAAUGGAGGGAACUCUGACGCAGUGACGCCGCGUAUAGGAAGAAGGUUUUCGGAUUGUAAACUAUUGUCGUUAGGGAAGAAAAAAAUGACAGUACCUAAGGAGGAAGCACCGGCUAACUAUGUGCCAGCAGCCGCGGUAAUACAUAGGGUGCGAGCGUUAUCCGGAUUUAUUGGGUGUAAAGGGUGCGUAGACGGGAAAUUAAGUUAGUUGUGAAAUCCCUCGGCUUAACUGAGGAACUGCAACUGAAACUGAUAUUCUUGAGUGUCGGAGGGGAAAGUGGAAUUCCCAGUGUAGCGGUGAAAUGCGUAGAGAUUGGGAGGAACACCAGUGGCGAAGGCGGCUUUCUGGACGAUAACUGACGCUGAGGCGCGAAAGCGUGGGGAGCAAACAGGAUUAGAUACCCUGGUA